GACAGAGGGUGCAAACGUUGUUCGGAAUUACUGGGCGUAAAGCGCGUGUAGGCUGCUCUGCAAGUCGGAUGUGAAAGCCCUGGGCUCAACCUAGGAAGUGCACUCGAAACUGCAGAGCUUGAGUCUCGGAGAGGAUCGCGGAAUUCUCGGUGUAGAGGUGAAAUUCGUAGAUAUCGAGAGGAACACCGGUGGCGAAGGCGGCGACCUGGACGAUGACUGACGCUGAGACGCGAAAGCGUGGGGAGCAAACAGG
rnacentral:rRNA from 1 species